rnacentral:rRNA from 1 species
UACGGGGGGAGCAAGCGUUGUUCGGAUUUACUGGGCGUAAAGGGCGCGUAGGCGGCCUCUGCAAGUCGACUGUGAAAUCUCCGGGCUUAACCCGGAAAGGUCAGCCGAUACUGCAGGGCUAGAGUGCAGAAGGGGCAACUGGAAUUCUCGGUGUAGCGGUGAAAUGCGUAGAUAUCGGGAGGAACACCGGUGGCGAAGGCGGCGACCUGGGUAGAUACUGACGCUGAGGUGCGAAAGCGUGGGGAGCAAACAGG